UACGUAGGGUGCGAGCGUUAAUCGGAAUUACUGGGCGUAAAGUGUGCGCAGGCGGCAGAGCAAGUCGAGUGUGAAAGCCCCGGGCUUAACUUGGGAAUUGCGCUCGAAACUACUUUGCUGGAGUGUGGCAGAGGAAGGUGGAAUUCCACGUGUAGCGGUGAAAUGCGUAGAGAUGUGGAGGAACACCAAUGGCGAAGGCAGAUCUCUGGGCCGUAACUGACGCUGAGGAGCGAAAGCGUGGGGAGCGAACAGG
rnacentral:rRNA from 1 species